rnacentral:rRNA from 1 species
UACAGAGACUGCAAGCGUUAUUCGGAUUCACUGGGCGUAAAGGGUGCGCAGGCGGCCGUGUGUGUGAGGCGUGAAAGCCCGGGGCUUAACCCCGGAAUUGCACCUCAAACUACAUGGCUAGAGCAUUGGCGAGGGUAGCGGAAUUCACGGUGUAGCAGUGAAAUGCGUAGAUAUCGUGAGGAACACCAGAGGCGAAGGCGGCUACCUGGACAAUUGCUGACGCUCAGGCACGAAAGCGUGGGGAGCAAAAGGG